rnacentral:rRNA from 1 species
GACGAACGCUGGCGGCGUGCUUAACACAUGCGAGUCGAACGUAAAGGCCCUGCUUUUGUGGGGUGCUCGAGUGGCGAACGGGUGAGUAACACGUGAGUAACCUGCCCUUGACUUUGGGAUAACUUUAGGAAACUGGGGCUAAUACCGGAUAGGAGCUCCUGCUGCAUGGUGGGGGUUGGAAAGUUUCGGCGGUUGGGGAUGGACUCGCGGCUUAUCAGCUUGUUGGUGGGGUAGUGGCUUACCAAGGCUUUGACGGGUAGCCGGCCUGAGAGGGUGACCGGCCACAUUGGGACUGAGAUACGGCCCAGACUCCUACGGGAGGCAGCAGUGGGGAAUAUUGCACAAUGGGCGGAAGCCUGAUGCAGCAACGCCGCGUGCGGGACGACGGCCUUCGGGUUGUAAACCGCUUUCGCCUGUGACGAAGCGUGAGUGACGGUAAUGGGUAAAGAAGCACCGGCUAACUACGUG